rfam:Norovirus Hu/MK04/2004/JP, complete genome.
AGUGGGUACCCCCACCACGUGCGCAAAAACGAGCACUGGAAUGGGGAAUCUU